rnacentral:rRNA from 1 species
UGGCUCAGAACGAACGCUGGCGGCGUGGUUGAUACAUGCAAGUCGAGCGGGAACGUUUCCUUCGGGAAACUAGUACAGCGGCGGACGGGUGAGUAACGCGUGAUCAAUCUACCCUCAGGAGGGGGAUAGCCACUCGAAAGGGUGGGUAAUACCCCAUAAGACCACAGCCUCGCAUGGGGCAGUGGUAAAAAGGUUGGGAUCUUCGGACCUUCUGCCUGAGGAUGGGAUCGCGUCCUAUUAGCUUGUUGGUGGGGUCACGGCCUACCAAGGCGAUGAUGGGUAGCCGGCUUGAGAGGGUGUCCGGCCACACUGGAACUGAGACACGGUCCAGACUCCUACGGGAGGCAGCAGUGCUGAAUCAUUCGCCAAUGCGCGAAAGCGUGACGGUGCGACGCCGCGUGCAGGAUGAAGGCCUUCGGGUUGUAAACUGCUGUCAGGGUGCAGGAACCCACGGACGUUAAUAGCGGACGUGCUGACCACACCCAAAGGAAGCACAGGCUAACCUCGUGCCAGCAGCCGCGGUAAGACGAGGUGUGCGAGCGUUGUUCGGAAUUACUGGGCAUAAAGGGUGCGUAGGCGGCUUGGUAAGUCAGGUGUGAAAGCCCACGGCUCAACCGUGGAAUUGCAUCCGAUACUGCCAGGCUUGAGGCCGAAAGAGGCAAGCGGAAUUCCAGGUGUAGCGGUGGAAUGCGUAGAUAUCUGGGAGAACGCCAAGGGCGAAGGCAGCUUGCUGGGUCGGUUCUGACGCUGAGGCACGAAAGCUAGGGGAGCAAACAGGAUUAGAUACCCUGGUAGUCCUAGCUGUAAACGUUGGGCACUUUGCUUCGGGGGUCCUGAUGCCUUCGGAGCCGGAGUUAACGCGUUAAGUGCCCCGCCUGGGGAGUAUGGUCGCAAGGCUAAAACUCAAAGGAAUUGACGGGGGCUCACACAAGCGGUGGAGCAUGUUGUUCAAUUCGAAGCAACGCGAAGAACCUUACCUGGGCUUGACAUGCUAGUGGUACAAACCUGAAAGGGGGCGGACCUCUUAACCGAGGAGCUAGCACAGGUGCUGCAUGGCUGUCGUCAGCUCGUGUCGUGAGACGUUGGGUUAAGUCCCGUAACGAGCGAAACCCUUGUCGCCUGUUGCUACCGGGUCAUGCCGGGCACUCUGGCGAGACUGCCGGUGUCAAACCGGAGGAAGGUGGGGACGACGUCAAGUCAUCAUGGUCCUUACGCCCAGGGCUACAAACGUGCUACAAUGGCAGGUACAGAGAGACGCGAAACCGCGAGGUGGAGCAAAUCUUCAAAACCUGCCCCAGUUCGGAUUGGAGGCUGCAAUUCGCCUCCAUGAAGGUGGAAUCGCUAGUAAUCGCGGAUCAGCAACGCCGCGGUGAUACGUUCCUGAGCCUUGUACACACCGCCCGUCAAGCCACCCAAGCUGGAAGCACCCGAAGUCCGGCGCC